rnacentral:rRNA from 1 species
AUUGAACGCUGGCGGCAUGCUUUACACAUGCAAGUCGAACGGCAGCACGGGUGCUUGCACCUGGUGGCGAGUGGCGGACGGGUGAGUAAUGCAUCGGAACGUGUCCUGAAGUGGGGGAUAACGCAUCGAAAGAUGUGCUAAUACCGCAUAUUCUCUGAGGAGGAAAGUAGGGGAUCGAAAGACCUUAUGCUUUUGGAGCGGCCGAUGUCUGAUUAGCUAGUUGGUAGGGUAAUGGCUUACCAAGGCGACGAUCAGUAGUUGGUCUGAGAGGACGACCAGCCACACUGGGACUGAGACACGGCCCAGACUCCUACGGGAGGCAGCAGUGGGGAAUUUUGGACAAUGGGCGCAAGCCUGAUCCAGCAAUGCCGCGUGAGUGAAGAAGGCCUGGUUGUAAGACUCUUUCAGUUGAGAGAAAAAGUACGUAGACUAAUAAUACAUGAUUCAUUGACGGUAUCAACA